GAUGAACGCUGGCGGCGUGCCUAAUACAUGCAAGUCGAGCGAACAGACGAGGAGCUUGCUCCUCUGACGUUAGCGGCGGACGGGUGAGUAACACGUGGAUAACCUACCUAUAAGACUGGGAUAACUUCGGGAAACCGGAGCUAAUACCGGAUAAUAUAUUGAACCGCAUGGUUCAAUAGUGAAAGACGGUUUUGCUGUCACUUAUAGAUGGAUCCGCGCCGCAUUAGCUAGUUGUAAGGUAACGGCUUACCAAGGCAACGAUGCGUAGCCGACCUGAGAGGGUGAUCGGCCACACUGGAACUGAGACACGGUCCAGACUCCUACGGGAGGCAGCAGUAGGGAAUCUUCCGCAAUGGGCGAAAGCCUGACGGAGCAACGCCGCGUGAGUGAUGAAGGUCUUCGGAUCGUAAAACUCUGUUAUUAGGGAAGAACAAAUGUGUAAGUAACUAUGCACGUCUUGACGGUACCUAAUCAGAAAGCCACGGCUAACUACGG
rnacentral:rRNA from 1 species